CAAAAAGAGGAUGUCUUGUCCUGCUCCUGAAAUCUGCUCAUCUGCAACAGAGCAUUGGGGUCAAAUCGCAGGAAUUCCAAUGGCUGUCCAGUGUGGAAUCCGCUGUUUGUUUGUUUACCUCAACAAUUCUUCACGUGGCAAAGUCACUACAUGGCCUUAUUAACGGUGAGGUUGGUGUGGAUGUUUUGGAUCAGAUGGCACGGCUGUACUCUGUGCAAGGAGGCACCAGCCACUGAACUGCUGCUGUGUUCUACAACUUGCGUGACUUGUUGCUCAAGCAGUGCAGUUAAAAGCCCUUACAGAAUUAUCCACCAACAACGGACCAAGCAGCGGAGGAAGGAGCAGCACAAGGAGAGGCACCAGGAGAAAAGCUAUCUGGAGUCGUGGACUUGGGAGGAAAUCCUGGACGGGAAAGGACCAUGGGCUCAAGCUGGGGAUUAUCGCCGCCCGCAGUGGGAGAUCGAGGCGGCGAGAGCUGAGAGGCGCUGGUAUGAGGAAAGGGAGCGCAACGGACACGGGAGGCAGCCCCC
rnacentral:lncRNA from 1 species